rnacentral:rRNA from 1 species
CACGUAGGGGGCGAGCGUUGUCCGGAAUCAUUGGGCGUAAAGGGCUCGUAGGCGGUUUGUCGCGUCGGGAGUGAAAACUCAGGGCUUAACCCUGAGCCUGCUUCCGAUACGGGCAGACUAGAGGUAUGCAGGGGAGAAUGGAAUUCCUGGUGUAGCGGUGAAAUGCGCAGAUAUCAGGAGGAACACCGGUGGCGAAGGCGGUUCUCUGGGCAUUACCUGACGCUGAGGAGCGAAAGUGUGGGGAGCGAACAGG